GCUCUCGUGGCCCAGUUGGUUAGUGCGUCGUACUUAUAAAGCGAAGGUCGAGGGUUCGAUCCCCUCCGACAGCA
rnacentral:tRNA from 1 species